rnacentral:rRNA from 1 species
GACGAACGCUGGCGGCGUGCCUAAUACAUGCAAGUAGAACGCAGUUGCGAACGGGUGAGUAACGCGUAGGUAACUGCCUGGUAGCGGGGGAUAACUAUUGGAAACGAUAGCUAAUACCGCAUACUACCAGAUGGACCUGCGUUGUAUUAGCUAGUGGGGGGGGUAACGGUGCACCAAGGCAACGAUACAUAGCCGACCUGAGAGGGUGAUCGGCCACACUGGGACUGUGCAACGGCCCAGACUCCGACGGGAUGCAGCAGUAGGGAAUCUUCGGCAAUGGACGGAAGUCUGACCGAGCAACGCCGCGUGAGUGAAGAAGGUUUUCGGAUCGUAAAGCUCUGGUAAUCGGGACGCGGUACCGGAAUAGAAAGCCACGGCUAACUACGUGCCAGCAGCCGCGGUAAUAC